CAACACCACAUUUAAAGAACCCAAGCCCCCCUUCUACUGUUUUCGGGAUCUGCAAUUCCUCGACUGACUCUACCCCUUACAGGACCAAGAUCACACAUAGUUUGGGUGUGACCGUGAGGAAGGGUCGGGUCAAGCAUUAACUAAACAAUUUAGUAAUUUCAGCACGGUGACCAGGCGUACGUUUUGCAGAGACACACGCACACGACAGCACUACAGCCAUGUCGGACUCCGAGACCGCCGCCGCCCCCGCCGAGUCCCCCGUCCCUGCAGCCUGCGCUGCCAUCAAGGCAGACCUGGACAAGUGUGUGAGUGACCAUGGCGGGGAGGGCUGUAAGGAUCUGAUGGAGGCAUUCGCAGCCUGUGUGAAGAGUGCAGCAGAGGCGUCGUGAGGAGAGGAGCUCGACUCGGAAAUGUCCACUGCACUGAGUCCUCCACGUUUCCCAGCAUUCCCUUCUGCACAACGGCACUGGACUGAACGAUGAUUGGGGGCGGGGUUCCGGUUCAAGAUGGCAGAAACCACAUUUGUCUCCUCCCCCCUAUGUUAAGGCUUAAAUGGUGCGUCCUGAAUUGCCCCCCCCCCCCCCCAUCCCCCCUUCCCCCCCCCCCGUGGUUAUUUACAUCAAUUUGUAGACAAGUCCAGAGUCUCUGGGUUUUAUGUAAAUUGUCCACCUGAGAUGCAUACAUUUAAAUGGAAUAAAGAUGAUGAGAUACUGA